UACGUAGGGGGCAAGCGUUGUCCGGAAUUAUUGGGCGUAAAGAGCGUGUAGGCGGUCCGGUAAGUCAGCUGUGAAAGUCAAGGGCUCAACCCUUGAAAGCCGGUUGAUACUGUCGGGCUAGAGUCCGGAAGAGGCGAGUGGAAUUCCCGGUGUAGCGGUGAAAUGCGCAGAUAUCAGGAGGAACACCGAUGGCGAAGGCGGGUCUCUGGGCCGAAAUUGACGCUGAGGAGCGAAAGCGUGGGGAGCAAACAGG
rnacentral:rRNA from 1 species